rnacentral:rRNA from 1 species
AUUGAACGCUGGCGGCAUGCUUUACACAUGCAAGUCGAACGGUAACAGGGUGCUUGCACCGCUGACGAGUGGCGAACGGGUGAGUAAUGCGUCGGAACGUGCCGAGUAGUGGGGGAUAACGCAGCGAAAGUUGUGCUAAUACCGCAUACGUACUGAGGUAGAAAGUGGGGAACCUUCGGGCCUCACGCUAUUCGAGCGGCCGACGUCUGAUUAGCUAGUAGGUGAGGUAAAGGCUCACCUAGGCGACGAUCAGUAGCGGGUCUGAGAGGAUGAUCCGCCACACUGGGACUGAGACACGGACCAGACUCCUACGGGAGGCAGUAGUGGGGAAUUUUGGACAAUGGGCGAAAGCCUGAUUCAGCCAUGCCGCGUGUCUGAAGAAGGCCUUCGGGUUGUAAAGGACUUUUGUCAGGGAGGAAAUCCCUAGUGCUAAUAACACUGGGGGAUGACAGUACCUGAAGAAUAAGCACCGGCUAACUACGUGCCAGCCGCCGCAGUAA